CGUGCAUGUAUGGGCAGAAGGCCCUCAGUUGGAUCACCGUAAAUAACCCUAAGGAAAGCUGUGUGCUGCAGCCCUCAGUGCAUAUGGGUGCAUUUGUGUCGGUGUUGACUGCGUGGCUGGCUUUGCAACACGUGCGCUUCUCUGACUGUGGGCAAGCACUGCCAGAGAGGCCCAUGUGUCUGCUCACACGUGCACAGGUGACAGAUCUCUCUACACGCCCCGUGUCACUGUGUGUUCUUUGGUGGCCCCAGUGUGCGUAUGUCUUCUCUUCUAUGAUUGGUCUGGAAUUCAGAACCUGGAGUGCUGAGGGAGGGAAGGGCAGAGGAGGGGAUGAAUCCAGGGCCACAGAGCUGUGCUCUGGGAAGGAAUAUCAUAAUCCAAGGUCUAACAGAUGACACCCUCCUCUGCCACCCCAUCCCACCCCAAUCCAGGGAAGGGUCUCCCUGUUCACAGUAUCCCUCCAUUAAAUGUAUCCAAACCUG
rnacentral:lncRNA from 14 species